UGUCUGAAUCAAAGAACACAAUCAUCGACUUUGUCCUGUCCACAUAUUAGGGUUAUACUACUUCACCAUUCCAAGCAAGGAUAGAAGGUCAAAGGACUGUUAGAAGCACUCUGCCCCAAAUUACAGCUCAGGUGUUCGAUAAAAUGCUUGUACCAGAUCACUGAAGAAGUUGGAUUCCUUGAACAAAAAACUGCUCUAUAUUUUGCUUUGGUCGUUAGCUUAUCAAAAUUAGGGGCUUUAUUGGAUUGCAAUUUGGUGAGUUUGGAGUCAUGAGCAUAGGGGAUUUCCUCAACCUUCAUUUUUCCAAACUUAAAUUUACAUUUUUUUUGUAGAUUGAAGAAGGCAAACUUGGUUAUCAAGGAGCUCGUUGAGGAAAAGGAUGAUGAAAAAUAAAAGUAAAUGGAAUUAUUGCAGGGUCGUUGGUUGUAAAAGAAAAGGAUAAGGUGGAUAAAGAUACGAUGCUUAAUAAGAUGUGACAAACUGAAGCUAUGAUAACAACUAUUGUUCUAAGAUAGGCCAAAAUGUUUCGAUAUUUAUCGUAUUAGGAUAAUUUCGGUUAUUUGAUGUUUUAGUUGGUGUUUGUAAUUAGAAUGUUUCAUAUGAUUCGAAACCGCAAAGACUAUAACAAAAGUGUUUUGUAUAAUUUUG
rnacentral:lncRNA from 1 species